rfam:Oryza nivara chromosome 8, whole genome shotgun sequence.
AAAAAAAUAAACUCUGAGUUUCCGUGUCCAACUUUGACUAUCCAUCUUAUAUAAAAAUUUUUAUAAUUCGUAUUUUUAUUAUUGUUAGAUGAUAAAACAUGAUUAAUAUUUUAUGCGUGACUUAUCUUUUUAAUUUUUUAAAUAAAACGGACGGUUAAACGUUGGACAUGGAAUUUAGGGUUUGUCUUUUU